rnacentral:rRNA from 1 species
CACCAGGUUGAUUCUGCCUGACGUGGACGCUAGUCUCACAGAUUUAGCCAUGCAUGUGUAAGCGAAGCUUAUAGUGGAGCGGUAUACGGCUCAGUAACGGGCGAUUUAUUUGUUCUCCUGGGACGGACAACAUCGGGAAACUGAUGGGAAAACGUCUAAGUUGCAGUUAAAUGACUGUGACGUAAACUUUCGUGUGCAGGAGAGUAAGAUGCCAUCCUAUCAGUUAGUAAGUAGGGUAAGGGCCUACUUAGACGAAGACGGGUACGGGGAAUGAGGGUUUGAUUCCGGAGAGGGAGCCUGAGAGAUGGCUACCAGGACCAAGGUCAGCAGCAGGCGCGAAAAUUAUCGAAGCCCGCCUAGGGGCGAUAGUGAGGAGACGUGUAUAACGAAGUACGUGUAAAGAACGUGCUAAUAACUGGAGGUCAAGUCUGGUGCCAGCAUCCGCGGUAAUUCCAGCUCCAGGGGUGUCUAUGAUGAUUGCUGCGAUUAAAAAGUCCGUAGUCAAUCUGACUGACUGACCUGCAAUGUGAUUGAUUAAAGAACGAGCAGGGUUAGGAAAGCAGAGAAUUAGGAGCGACCGAGGGCUAGAGUAUUGAAUGGCGAGAGGUGAAAUUUGAUGACCCAUUCAGGAGUGACAAAGGCGAAGGCACUAGUCAAGGGCGAAUCCGAUGAUCAAGGACGUAGGCUAGAGUUUCGAAAACGAUUAGAGACCGGAGUAGUUCUAGCAGUAAACUAUGCCGACGCCGUGGUAUCAAUAAUGGUAUUGCGGAAGAGAAAUCAAGUAAGGCUUUGGGGAGAGUACGCGCGCAAGCGAUAAAUUUAAAGGAAAUU